rnacentral:rRNA from 1 species
GGAUAACUCCGGGAAACCGGGGCUAAUACCGGAUGGUUGUUUGAACCGCAUGGUUCAAACAUAAAAGGUGGCUUCGGCUACCACUUACAGAUGGACCCGCGGCGCAUUAGCUAGUUGGUGAGGUAACGGCUCACCAAGGCGACGAUGCGUAGCCGACCUGAGAGGGUGAUCGGCCACACUGGGACUGAGACACGGCCCAGACUCCUACGGGAGGCAGCAGUAGGGAAUCUUCCGCAAUGGACGAAAGUCUGACGGAGCAACGCCGCGUGAGUGAUGAAGGUUUUCGGAUCGUAAAGCUCUGUUGUUAGGGAAGAACAAGUACCGUUCGAAUAGGGCGGUACCUUGACGGUACCUAACCAGAAAGCCACGGCUAACUACGUGCCAGCAGCCGCGGUAAUACGUAGGUGGCAAGCGUUGUCCGGAAUUAUUGGGCGUAAAGGGCUCGCAGGCGGUUUCUUAAGUCUGAUGUGAAAGCCCCCGGCUCAACCGGGGAGGGUCAUUGGAAACUGGGGAACUUGAGUGCAGAAGAGGAGAGUGGAAUUCCACGUGUAGCGGUGAAAUGCGUAGAGAUGUGGAGGAACACCAGUGGCGAAGGCGACUCUCUGGUCUGUAACUGACGCUGAGGAGCGAAAGCGUGGGGAGCGAACAGGAUUAGAUACCCUGGUAGUCCACGCCGUAAACGAUGAGUGCUAAGUGUUAGGGGGUUUCCGCCCCUUAGUGCUGCAGCUAACGCAUUAAGCACUCCGCCUGGGGAGUACGGUCGCAAGACUGAAACUCAAAGGAAUUGACGGGGGCCCGCACAAGCGGUGGAGCAUGUGGUUUAAUUCGAAGCAACGCGAAGAACCUUACCAGGUCUUGACAUCCUCUGACAAUCCUAGAGAUAGGACGUCCCCUUCGGGGGCAGAGUGACAGGUGGUGCAUGGUUGUCGUCAGCUCGUGUCGUGAGAUGUUGGGUUAAGUCCCGCAACGAGCGCAACCCUUGAUCUUAGUUGCCAGCAUUCAGUUGGGCACUCUAAGGUGACUGCCGGUGACAAACCGGAGGAAGGUGGGGAUGACGUCAAAUCAUCAUGCCCCUUAUGACCUGGGCUACACACGUGCUACAAUGGACAGAACAAAGGGCAGCGAAACCGCGAGGUUAAGCCAAUCCCACAAAUCUGUUCUCAGUUCG